UAAUUGCUUAGAUAUUCUUGAAAUGAUUUUAGCUUCCUAAAAUUUUUUUCACAUACACUUCAACAAACCAUUAGUACCAUCGUAUACUUAAAUAUUUUAUAUUCCUAAAAAUUAUUUCUUGGGUCAACAAUUGAUUUUAUUGCAAACGAUGAAAUUACUAGCUAGCAAGGAACAUCAAAAUCAACUUAGCCAAACUGCUCGAAUCAGCACUAUAUGUGUAUGUUGUACGUUUUAACUACUAUUGGACAUUUUGGAAGAGGC
rnacentral:lncRNA from 1 species